rnacentral:rRNA from 1 species
UACAGAGGCCUCGAGCGUUAGGCGGAAUCACUGGGCUUAAAGCGCGUGUAGGCGGCAACGCAAGUCGGGCGUGAAAUCCCACGGCUCAACCGUGGAAGUGCACUCGAAACUGCGUAGCUAGAGUCCUGGAGAGGAAGGUGGAAUGCUUGGUGUAGAGGUGAAAUUCGUAGAUAUCAAGCGGAACACCGGUGGCGAAGGCGGCCUUCUGGACAGUGACUGACGCUGAGACGCGAAAGCGUGGGGAGCAAACAGG